rnacentral:tRNA from 1 species
GCGCGUGUGCCGGAGUGGUCUAACGGGUGGGUCUCAAACGGUAACGCUUUCGUUCGAAUGAGCGUCGUACGCUGCGAGCUGAGCUUUCCCAUAGCGAAAGCUGCGUGAGUUCAAAUCUCACCGCGCGCA